GACUUGGUGGCUCAGUUGGUAGUGUGGUGGGAUGGAAUUUCCUGAAUUGUGAGUUUGAUCCUCACCUGGGUUC